rnacentral:rRNA from 1 species
CCUACGGGCGGCUGCAGUGGGGAAUAUUGCACAAUGGGCGCAAGCCUGAUGCAGCAACGCCGCGUGAGGGACGACGGCCUUCGGGUUGUAAACCUCUUUUAGCAGGGAAGAAGCGAAAGUGACGGUACCUGCAGAAAAAGCACCGGCUAACUACGUGCCAGCAGCCGCGGUAAUACGUAGGGUGCAAGCGUUAUCCGGAAUUAUUGGGCGUAAAGAGCUCGUAGGCGGUUUGUCGCGUCUGCUGUGAAAACUGGGGGCUCAACCCCCAGCCUGCAGUGGGUACGGGCAGACUAGAGUGCGGUAGGGGAGAUUGGAAUUCCUGGUGUAGCGGUGGAAUGCGCAGAUAUCAGGAGGAACACCGAUGGCGAAGGCAGAUCUCUGGGCCGUAACUGACGCUGAGGAGCGAAAGCGUGGGGAGCAAACAGGCUUAGAUACCCUGGUAGUC